UGGUAAUUUGAUACAGACGCCUUCAGACCCGCCAAAGACAAACAAAAUUUAAAACAAUGGAUCCCAUCGACCAAGCAAAUAUAUCUAUGGACGAUGCAACAGAUACAGAACAUCUUAUUAGAAUAUUGACGGAAUCAAAAGCCAGCUUAACAAUUAUUACAGCAGCAGAAGGACUGUGACACAGUAGUGGGAAUGAAAUCCCUAGAAUAUAGAUCAAAUCGAAGAAAAGAUCAGAUAUAAAACAAUGAAGAAAGAAAAGGAUGACUUAAUUUCAAAAGCAGAUUUUACAAAAGUUCACCUGACAACCAAAAAGAAAUGCCCACCAAGAGCCUUUAUCAUUCAAAAGAAGAUAGUUCCGUAAUGAACAAUUCCUGUAUGAUAGGAGAUGGACUGACAAUUUCUGUUUUGUUGAGGAUAAAAUUCAUGUGAUUUUACAUUUUCCUGUUAAUGACUAAAUAUGGCAAAUUCUCUUUAUUAAAUCUAUUAACACUUAUGAAAUUGGUGAUGAAAAUGUUAUAAUUUUUCA